rnacentral:lncRNA from 1 species
CCCCUCAAUAGACGCAUGUUCCGACGAUGAGUUCGAUGACACCAAUGAAGAGCUAUACUAUCUUCAGAAAUGCCAGGCAAGCAAAACCCCCUUGUUCAUUCCGAUAUAAUCCCACUCUCUCGCUCCUGCUCUCUUUUACUGCAUUAGGACAACAACGAUUCAACUGUUAUAUGUUGCGAUAGUUGAACCCCUUUCCUCUGCAUGACCUGUCAUUGCCACAGUAAAUAGAUGAAACCCACUAGCAUGAGUAGGAGUUGUUUGAGCCCUGAUGUGCCUACUCAUUCAUGCUUGUUUGUCAUGCCUGCUACUGCUUAGAGUUGAGUCAGGUCUGAUUCACCAGGGAUGAAUUGGAAAGUUGUGAACAUGUCCUACUGUUGAGAGCUAAGUGUGUGAACAUGAGUUGGUAAAGGUAGCGGUGAGAGGCCAUGUAGGAAUACAUGGUGGGUUGUCUCAUUGAAACCGUCCUCAGGAACUGAGUUCUGUGUUUGUGAUCCAUGAACAGUUACUACCACACAUUGGGUUCCGGUAACUCGACCCCUCUCGGCUUAUUAACCAACUUGAUCUCUGUCGAGGAGUUGCAACUAGUUUCUGGUGUUUGUAGGUAGUGUUAGUAGUCUACCAAGUGGCACCCGGUACGGGUGGGCUUGGGACAGACUAGGCACAGUAGCACGGUGUACCAAGUGGCACCCGGAUGGUGGGUGUAACGCCCACGAUGCGGCUAUAUCUCCCACGUGUCGAGGCACGACUUAGAGGCAUAACCGCAUAGUGGUUUUGUCGCAAGAAGGGUCAUCUUCACACAAUCCCAUGUAAUGAACAAGAAUGGGAUAAAGAGUUGGCUUACAAUCGCCACUUCACACAAUACAUAAAUAUAUCUCAUACAUCAUCCAAAAUACAAUCAUAUAGACCGACUACGGUCAAAAACCAGAUGAAAAUAAGACAACCCCAAAUGCUAGAUCCCCGAUCGUCCCAACUGGGCUCCACUACUGAUCAUCAGGAAAAGACACAUAGUAACGACCACGUUCCUCGUCGAACUCCCACUUGAGAUCGACGCCAUCAUCGGCACUGGCAUCGUCGGCACCUGCAACUGUUUUGGUAGAAUCUGUGAGUCACGAGGACUCAGCAAUCUCACACCCGCGAGAUCAAAAAUAUUUAAGCUUAUAGGAAAAAAAAGGUGUAGUGAGGUGGAGCUGCAGCGGCAAAAGCAUAUAUGGUGGCUAACUUGCGCAAACGAGAGCGAGAAGAGAAGCAACGGAACGGACGUCAUCUAGCAAUGACCAAGAAGUGAUCCUGAACUCCUACUUACGUCAUACAUAACUCAGACCGUGUUCACUUCCCGGACUCCGCCGAGAAGAGACCAUCACGGCUACUCACGCAGUUGAUGUAUUUUAACUGGGUCAAGUGUCAAGUUAUCUACAACCGGACAUUAACAAAUUCCCAUCUGCCUCAUAACCGCGGGCACGGCUUUCGAAAGAUAAUACCCUGCAGGGGUGUCCCAACUUAGCCCAUCAUAAGCUCUCACGGUCAACGAAGGAUAAACCUUCUCCCGGAAAGACCCGAUCAAUCUCGGAAUCCCAGUUUACAAGACAUCUCGACAAUGGUAAAACACGACCAGCAAAGCCGCCCGAAUGUGCCGACAAAUCCCGAUAGGAGCUGCACAUAUCUCGUUCUCAGGGCACACCGGAUUGUCCAAGCUUCUGAUAGGCCAGACCAGAGUUGCCCCUGGUGGCCACCGGCGACUGACAGUUUGGACCAAUACUCAGAGGAGCACUGGCCCGGGGGUUCAAAAUAAAGAUGACCCUCGGGCUCUAGAAAACCCGGGGGAAAAAGGUAUAGGUCGCAAAUGGUAAAACCAAGGUUGGGCCUUGCUGGAGGAGUUUUAUUCAAGGCGAACUGUCAAGGGGGUCCCAUAAAUCACCCGACCGCGUAAGGAACGCAAACUCAAGGAACAUAAUCCCGGUAUAUCAGUAACUAGGGCGGCAAGAGUGGAACAAAACACCAGGCAUAAGGCCGAGCCUUCCACCCUUUACCAAAUAUAUAUAGAUGCAUUAAUUAAAUAAGAGAUAUUGUGAUAUCCCAACAUAUCCAUGUUCCAACAUGGAACCAACUUCAACUUCACCUGCAACUAGCAACGCUAUACGAGGGGCUGAGCAAAAGCGGUAACUUAGCCAAACAACGGUUUGCUAGGAAAGGAUGGUUAGGGGCUGGCAUGGCAAAAUGGGAGACAUGAUAUAGCAAGUGAUAGGUAGCGAGCAUGGCAAUAGAGCGAACAACUAGCAUAGCAAAGAUAGAAGUGAUUUCGAGGGGUGGUCAUCUUGCCUGCAAGGUUCUCAGAGUUGUCGAAAGCUUGAUCCUCGUAAGCGUACUCAACAGGUUCCUCGUUCACGAACUCGUCUCCCGGCUCUACCCAUAACAAGAACACAAGCAAACGGAACCACAAUCAACAACGAGAAAUGCACAAGCAACAUGAUGCAAAACAUGUAUGAUAUGCAAGAUAUGGUAUACGAUGCAUAUGCGUGCUCCGGAGGGGAAAUGAUGAACAUGGCAGUAACUUGGCAAACCAAGCAUGCCACUGGAAAGAUGAGAUGAUCUCGGUUGAAAUCGAUAUAAAGAUCACCGGAAACGGAUGCACGGUUUGCAAAUGGCAAGCAAAACAAGAAUGACACGAAUCUGCGAUUAACAGCAUGAUAACACUUAAAAUGCAACAAGCAACAAUGCUACAGCACUCCAACAUAGCAACAAAGAAUAUGACAGUAAUCUAUAGGAGAUUCUUGACAAAAGAUGAACACUGAGCCAUGGCUAGAUCACAACAUAUCAAGCUCAAACAAGCAUGGCAAAAGUGCAAAAGAUAACAGGAUCACAGACUUAGUGAACAACUGGACAUGGCAGAAAACAGCAUCAGGUAGCAAUGUUCAGAGCACGAAAUCAACAUGCUACAGGAACUUAACAUAGCAAAACAAGGCAUGGAAGUAUUCUACUAAAUUCAUAUGACAAAAGUUCCUUACUGACCAUAAGCCAAAAAGGAUCAGAAGAUAUGAUGGCAAGAAUGUAAACAUAGCAAGUUCCGUUAUCAGGUUCCAGACUUAGCAGAAAACAGAGCAUGGUAGAAAUAAUAAUAUGUAGGCCUCUUUGUGAGCUUGAUGCACUCACUACAGAGCAAUGCAUGACAAACCAAGCAUACCUACAGCAAGAUGGCAUGUUUAUGAAGCUAACCAUGGCAAGAAAAAUUGCAUAGCAUGUAUGGAUCAACUACAAUAAGCUUGGCAAAAUUGCAUAUCAUGUUAAGAAUCUGCCAGAAAUAUUUUAUAGCAAAAGUAGAGCAAGAUUGAGUUAUGCUACGGCACCCCAUAAUUGCAAACAAUUGCAGGAAUGGAUCAAUUACAACUAUAGCUACAAAACAUCCUUACUGAACAUCUCCAAAAUAUGCAUGGAUCUCUCUGUAGCAUCAAGUUUACAUGGCAACAAAAUAACAGCAGACGAGGACUUGGAGAAAUCACUGUGUCCCUGAAAUCAGAAACAUUACGGAGCCUAAUUUGCAUGCUUGUGCUAGUCACCACAGAGAUCACAAAAAUACAUGGCAUACACCCUUGGAAAGAUGGCAUGGCAUACUUCAAAACACAUGUAGAGCUCAUGCCCAUAAGAUGCACAGAUUUAAAGAUACAAAAAUGACAAAUCUCCAAGUUCUGCUAAGAACCAGAGAAUAACAGCAACUAGCCCUCUUCCAACGAAGAUGUGGGCAUCCAGAUGACCUCUAAUGAACAUGGUGCAAUUGAACAAAAUGAAGAUCAUCACGAGACGAACAAUUUGACAUAUUACACACGCGAAUCAGAGCUACAUGCAAGGAGUUAUGGCAUCACGAACAAGUGCACAUGCAGUAAAAUAUCAGGGACUUGGGAAAUUUGAGGGGUACGAGGAAGUCAACGGGGCUACCGAGAUCUGGAUCGGGAUCGUGGUGCUCGGGCCGGCCGGAGCUCCGGUGGCGCUGCUCGCCGGCGGAGAGGAAGGAGAGGAGGCGAGGUGGCGGCGCCGGCGGAGGNNNNNNNNNNNNNNNNNNNNNNNNNNNNNNNNNNNNNNNNNNNNNNNNNNNNNNNNNNNNNNNNNNNNNNNNNNNNNNNNNNNNNNNNNNNNNNNNNNNNNNNNNNNNNNNNNNNNNNNNNNNNNNNNNNNNNNNNNNNNNNNNNNNNNNNNNNNNNNNNNNNNNNNNNNNNNNNNNNNNNNNNNNNNNNNNNNNNNNNNNNNNNNNNNNNNNNNNNNNNNNNNNNNNNNNNNNNNNNNNNNNNNNNNNNNNNNNNNNNNNNNNNNNNNNNNNNNNNNNNNNNNNNNNNNNNNNNNNNNNNNNNNNNNNNNNNNNNNNNNNNNNNNNNNNNNNNNNNNNNNNNNNNNNNNNNNNNNNNNNNNNNNNNNNNNNNNNNNNNNNNNNNNNNNNNNNNNNNNNNNNNNNNNNNNNNNNNNNNNNNNNNNNNNNNNNNNNNNNNNNNNNNNNNNNNNNNNNNNNNNNNNNNNNNNNNNNNNNNNNNNNNNNNNNNNNNNNNNNNNNNNNNNNNNNNNNNNNNNNNNNNNNNNNNNNNNNNNNNNNNNNNNNNNNNNNNNNNNNNNNNNNNNNNNNNNNNNNNNNNNNNNNNNNNNNNNNNNNNNNNNNNNNNNNNNNNNNNNNNNNNNNNNNNNNNNNNNNNNGGCGGACGAGAGCGACGGCGACACGUGGCGGCGGCGGUGCAGGAAUUUUGUCCGGCGCCGGGCGGACGUGUCCGGCGCGCGGAGGGACGAAGCUAGGGUUUGGACUGAGAUUGGUAUUUCGGGAUGCCCACAUAUAAAUAGGUAGAGGGAGCUAGGAGGCUCCAAAUGAGGUGCGGUUUUCGCCCACACGAUCGUGAUCGAACGACCUAGAGCAUGGAAGAGAGUUUGGUGGGUUUUGGGCUGGUUUUAGAGGGGGUUUUUGCUGGACACUCAAAUGGACUUUGCGGAUGCCCGGUUAACCGUUGAAGUACCAAACGACCUCCAAAUGGAAUGAAACUUGACCGGUGGUCUCCGGGUGGUAUAAUAAGGCCACUUGACAAGCCUCGGUCCAUUCCGAGAAAGUUUGACACCCGCACACGAAAGAAAACAAGAGGGAUGCACCGGAGGAGAUAGGAGCGCCGGAUUGCAAAACGGGCAACGGGGAAAAUGCUCGGAUGCAUGAGACGAACACGUAUGCAAAUGCAAUGCACAUGAUGACAUGAUAUGAAAAUGCAUGACAUGACAAAAUACAAAACGAAAGACAAAACCCGACAACGGAGGGAAAAUCAUAACACAUAGCCGGAAAUGGCAAGAGUCGGAGUUACAAAUAUGGCAAGUUACAUCCGGGGUGUUACAACACUCCACCACUACGAGAGGAUCUCGUCCCGAGAUCUAGGACUGAAAGAACUCCGGAUAUUCGGAACGGAGAUGGUCCUCGCGUUCCCAGGUGGCUUCCCGGUCGGAAUGGUGCGACCACUUCACUUUCAGGAAUUUGAUAGACUUGUUGCGAGUCUUGCGCUCAGUUUCUUCAAGUAUAGCCACGGGGUGCUCAUGAUAAGAUAAAUCUUCUUGGAGGUCAAUCUCUUCGAAGUUGAUGGUGCGCUCAGGCGUCUUGAAGCACUUGCGGAGCUGUGACACGUGGAACACAUCGUGCACGUUCGCGAAGUUGGAAGGAAGCUCAAGUUGAUAGGCGAGGUCGCCUCUUUUGCCAAUGAUCUUGAAAGGACCCACGUAUCUAGGGGCAAGCUUCCCUUUGAUACCGAAGCGACGAGUGCCUUUCAUUGGAGAGACGCGGAGGUAGACAUGGUCUCCGAUCUCGAAAGCCAAAUCAUGGUGCUUACUACCAUAGUAACUCUUCUGGCGCGAUUGCGCGGCUUUGAGAUUAUCACGGAUGACUUUACACAUUUCUUCAGCUUCAGUGAUUAAGUCAUUGCCAAGAAGUUGGCGUUCACCAGUCUCUGACCAAUUGAGAGGAGGACGGCACUUUCUGCCAUAGAGAAUCUCGAAUGGGGCCUUGCCCGAACUCGCUUGGAAGCUGUUGUUGUAGGAGAAUUCAGCAUAUGAAAGACAAUCUUCCCAUUUCAUGCCAAAGGAAAUGACACAAGCCCUGAGCAUAUCUUCAAGAAUUUGAUUGACUCGCUCGACUUGGCCACUAGAUUGAGGAUGGAAAGCUGUGUUGAAGCGAAUGUUUGUGCCCAUGGCCUUCUGGAAGGAGUCCCAGAACUUAGAGUUGAAGAUGCUUCCACGAUCAGAAGAAAUCAAUUGUGGAAUGCCGUGCAAAGAGACAAUUCUGGAGGUGUAUAGCUCUGCCAGCUGAGCUGCUGUGAUGGAUUCUUUGAUUGGAAGGAAAUGAGCCACUUUAGAGAGCUUGUCAAUGACAACGAAGAUAGCAUCAUUUCCGCGCUUGGACUUUGGAAAACCAGUCACGAAGUCCAUUUCGAUAUGAUCAAACUUCCAUUCUAGGAUAGCAAGAGGUUGAAGGAGACCAGCUGGUCGUUGGUGUUCUGCUUUCACUCUUCGGCAGACAUCACAUUCAUUCACGAAUUGAGCGAUCUCUCGCUUCAUUCGAGUCCACCAAUACGACUGCUUGAGGUCAUGAUACAUCUUUGAACUUCCAGGAUGAAUUGACAGGAGAGAAUUGUGCGCUUCGUUCAUUAUGACUUUCCGUAGAUCACCUUUAGGAACCACAAUCCGGUCCUCGAAGAACAAAGUGUCUCUGUCAUCAAUGCGAUAGCACUUGUAUUUGGAAAGACCCUUGUCGAUACCACGUUUCACCUUCUUCACCAUGGCAUCAAGGAUUUGUGCCUCACGAAUUUGAUCUUCCAAAGUAGGAGAUACUAUGAGGUUGGCAAGAAAGCCUUGAGGAACAACUUGGAGAUUCAGCUUGCGGAAAGCUUCACAAAGAUCCGGUUGGAAUGGCUUGAGAAUUAAGCUGUUGCAAUAAGCCUUCCUGCUUAAAGCAUCUGCAAUGACAUUGGCCUUGCCUGGAGUAUAUUCAAUACUCGGAUUGUACUCUUGAAUCAUUUCGACCCAUCGAGUCUGCCUGAGGUUGAGGUUGGGCUGAGUGAAGAUAUACUUGAGACUCUUUUGAUCGAUGAAAAUGUCCACUUGUCUUCCCAACAAGAGAUGUCUCCAUGUUAUUAAUGCAUGGACAACUGCCGCCAACUCAAGAUCGUGAGUGGGGUAGUUCUUCUCGUUGGGCUUCAACUGCCGAGAGGUAUAAGCCACAACUUUCUUCUCUUGCAUUAACACAGCACCGAGACCUUGGAGAGAAGCAUCACAGAAAACUUCAUACGGCUUGGAUUCAUCAGGAUGAGUCAAGACAGGAGCUGUGACUAGUUUCUCUUUGAGAGUGUUGAAAGCGACGUCACACUCAGGAGACCAGACAUACUUCACAUGCUUCUGGAGGAGGUUGGAAAGAGGCUUUGCAAUCUUAGAGAAAUUCUCAACGAAUCUUCGGCAAUAGCUUGCAAGACCAAGAAAACUGCGGAGCUGCUUGACAUUCUGAGGCGGUUCCCAAUUCACAAUUGCGGACACCUUCUCGGGGUUAACAGCGAUGCCCUUGGCAGAGAUAAUGUGACCAAGGAAAAGAACUUCAUCAAGCCAAAACUCACAUUUUGAGAACUUCGCAUAGAAUUGAUACUCUCUGAGCUUGUCGAGCACCAAUCGCAAAUGUUUGGCAUGAUCCUGCUUAUUCUUGGAGAAGACCAAGAUAUCAUCAAGAUACACCAGAACGAAUUCAUUGGUAUAGGGGUUGAAGAUGAAAUUCAUCAUCCGAGAGAACACCGGAGGAGCAUUGACAAGGCCGAAAGACACGACAGUAUAUUCAUAAGAACCAAAGCUUGUUCUGAAUGUUGUCUUGGGAAUAUCUUCUUCACGAAUGCGAAUCUGAUGAUAACCCAUACGAAGGUCAAGCUUCGAGAAUACUUUAGCCCCUUUGAGUUGCUCAAAUAGCUCAUUGAUGUUGGGAAUUGGAUACUUGUUCUUGAUUGUCUUCUUGUUCAAUGGACGGUAGUCGACACAAAGUCGGUCCGUGCCAUCCUUCUUCUUGACAAAAAGAACACCACAACCCCAUGGAGAAGAACUCGGUCUGAUCAAACCCAGACGCUCUUGUUCAUCGAGCUGUUUCUUCAAUUCCUUCAGCUCGUUGGGUCCAAGCUUGUAUGGACGCUUGCAAACGGGUUCAGUGCCAGGCUCUAGUUCGAUAACGAACUCAAUUGGCCGAUGAGGAGGCAUACCCGGAAGCUCUUCUGGAAAGACAUCUUGAUACUCACAAACGACUGGAAUUUGAGAGAUGGCAUUCAAUUCGCCCUUCUCAUUGAGAGAGAAAAACCGAAUGGUUUCAUCACGAGCGGCAUAAAUAAUCACAUCCUCAGACGAGUGUGUCAAUUGAAUUUCCCUGGCUGCACAAUCAAGUUGAGCUUUGUGCUUAGAAAGCCAGUCCAUCCCGAGAAUAAGAUCAAUAUCCGAGUCACCAAGAACAAUUGGAGAAGACUGAAAUUUAUAGUCGCCCAUCUUGAUGGAAACAUUCGGAACCAUGGAGCUUGCAUUCAUGCAUUUGCCCGGAGAGACAACUGCUAAUGGUCUAGGCAAUCCUUGGAAAUGCAAUUCAUGCUUGGAUGCAAAUGGUCUUGAUAUGAAAGAAAGCGAUGCACCAGUAUCAAAAAGAACUUUUGCGGGAAUAUCAUUAACAGGAAGAUUACCCAUUAUCACAUCAGUGGAUUCCUCCGCUUGAGCUGCAUUCAUCAUGUUCACCUUUGCAAACUUUGGAUUAUGCUUGACCACUGCAUUGCUGGAAGAUCUGACAGGAGGAGGAGGAGGAAGACGCCUUUGGUUGAAGCACUUGUUAGCAUAGUGACCUUUCUGCUGACAUUUUUUGCAAGUCACCUCUGAGAGUGGACGGUGAUAAGGAGCAUUGGACUUUGGAGCUUGAUUCUGAGACUUGUUCUGAUAGCCAGAGUUGGAAGAGUUGGAACAACCAUGGCCACCUUUGUUCUUCUGCUGAUAAGGCUGACGAAACGGAGGAGGAGGAGGCAACCAGAACUUCUGUUGCUUAGCUGUCACAAGUGAGGAAGAAGAAGACUGAACUGCGUCUCUGACUCUCUUCUUAGAAGCCUCACACUUGAGCUGAGCAGCCUCUUGCUUCAGUGCCAUAUUAUAGAAUUGAUCAAACUGAGUAGGCUCAACAAGAACGAGGGCUAACUGCAGAUCCUCUUUAAGGCCACCUCUGAAGUGAUAGAUCAUGCUCUUCUCAUCAGGAACGUCUUGUUUAGCGAAGUGAGCAAGUUUCUGAAACUGAAUGUUGUAUUGAUACACAGACAUGUUGCCUUGCUUGAGAUUGCGGAACUCCUCACGCUUGCUCUCAACAACACUUUGUGGAAUGUGGUGCGCUUUGAAGUCCCGACAGAAGUCAGUCCAAGUGAUCACACGACCUCCUCUGGAAUCUUUGUAUUGUUGAAACCAAUCAGCAGCUUGGUCCUUGAGCUGGAAAGAAGCGAACUUGACAUAGUCCUCAGGCCUGACAUUGCUACAUUCAAAAUGCUUGUUGAUGUCCACGAGCCAAUCAUCGGCAUCCGUGGCCUCGGCACAGUAGCUGAAAGACUUGGGCUGAUUUGCGAGAAACUGGUUGAGUGUAGCGAAGUGAAACUGAUUGUUGCCUUGACCUUGAUUGCCUUGAUUGUCUUGCCCUUGAGUACGUUCUUGCAAGAGUUGCAGAAUCAUCUGAGCAUUGGCGUUGGUGGCUGCCAUGAUAGCUUGCCAUGCCUCCGGAGGUGGAGGUGGUGGCGGAGGGUUCGCUUGACUCCCUUCAUUGUGAUCCGGAUUCUGACGAGUUGGCGGAGCCAUCCUGAAGAGGGUGACAUCCGUUAGCAUCUUGAUAGACAAAUAGAUAAGUAGAAUCAACGGAUAGAAAUUGCAACAUAUAGUCUUCACAAUAAACAUUCGAACGAAGAUGAACGAAUGAAUUCCGUAGUAAAACAUCACACUUCCAUAAGUUGAGAAGCCACUUAGAAAAAGAUAUGGAAUGAACAUAUGAAUUCGAAGCAACUCGAAUACCACAAUACAAAAUAAAACAAAGUAUUGGCUUGCAGAAUAAGCCGGAACAAACAUAUGAUAGAGGUUUCGUCCGAAGUUUUCGUGGUGGGGCCCACACGGGCUCAAUCGUACAGCACCAUCAUGUACAAGGCUGUGCACAUGACAUACGAAGCGUCCCCGAGUCGGCAAAGCCAUGGACUCUUUAAGACACUACGAGACCACUGUAAAAUCAACCGUAUACAGGCGGACCACUAGACGUCGAACCCCAAUCUCAUAUCAUGCGUCUGUCGGAAAGAUAUCCUAAGGCUACUUGAAUUCCCACUUAUAAACUCCCGAAACUUUCUGGUUAUGCAAUCUGGUGUAGGGGAUACAGGGGACACAAAAUAUAUCACCCAAACUAGCAAUCCCUAGAUCCAGCUGUAUCCAUCCGUCAACACAUAACCAAGAAACCUUCGGAAAUCGUUUACCUCAACCUUCGAAAAACAUCCGUUAUACAAGUUAUGGCAAUACUACCGAACUCCCGCCCCAGUACUGGGUGGCGUCGAGGUGAUCUCACCAACAACUGCAUAAAAGAGAUUUCGAUGUCGGCGAAACUCAGGUAUUCCGGAACUGCAACGAUAAAAUUGUGACGACAACACCUCGGAGCUCAACUCCCCGGGACACUGCCACAACCCCUAAAUGUCAGGAGGCACCAAGAACAAUGUUCUCGUCACAAAACCAUCGGAACGAUUCCAAGAUACCCGCGUGAUCCUAAAUUUUUUUUAGUGAAAUUUGAGGAGAGAAUAGUCAAAACUUCUACGUCAGGAGACCUCACCAGAGCGACGAAGGGACUGAGGAGUAAAAAGAAUCCUACUCUCCGAUAUAUAUAAUCCUAAGACUCAAAACAUUUUUUGUUCUAGACUCAACAACGCCAGCGAUUCGAUCAAGCAGGGGGCUCCUAAGUCGGGGAUGGCUCUGACCCUAGCUUCGUCCCUUCGCGCUCGGACCCCACCGCGCCAGUAGCCGCCGCUGCCGUGGCCUUCUGCAUCCGCCUCCAGCAGCUCUCCCUGCGACCUCCUCUUCAUCACCGUCUCGUGCCAGGGCCCUUCCACCUCACGACCAUGUUGUCCGACUGCCGGCUCGUUGCUGCUGUUUCGUCGCCCGCCUCCCUUCGUUGACCACCAAGACCGGAGGCCCUUUUGUGUUGCUUCGUUUUGGAUGCGCCAAGAUCCUCUCCGAACAUGUACGACUACACCUGCUGAUGCGUCAAGUACCUUGGAACGUCUACGACUACGCGGACUCGCCAAGUACCACGACGACCGUGUACCACUACCGUCGCCGUGUACCACUACUUCCACUACGACCGUUUCGAGAACGUCUACUUCCUCUACACCGCACCGGAACGCCGAGUUCCUCGCCGUGACCCCGAACAUCUACGGAAACUUGUGCGACUAUGAACGUGAACGACUACCGUCGACCCUAAGUUACUCGGAUUCGUCAAGUACCUCUCCGGAAACGAACGUGUGCCACUACUUCCACUACCGUCGCCGAAGACCCGUGUAACGGAACCGUCAAGUUCAACUACCUUCGUGUACCACUACUUCCCUCGACGAUUUUGAACCGCUCCGAAAAUGCAUGCUUCGAAGGUAUAACCGCCGAGAACGACGCCCGUGAACGAAUGUGUGUGUGUGUGGUAUGAGAUGCCCGUGUUUGCACCAUGUCCAAAUUGGUCCUUGCACGUUCCUCGUUUCCUUGCCACCGUCAUGUGGGAACCCGGUAACCGGGAUCACCCCACCAUCUUUUGCAUGUUCCGCACAUCCACAUCUUCGUUUGCACCGGUCGCUCAACGAGUUAUCGGAACCGGGACGUUGCCAUGGCAUCGUUUCCGUUUUCAUCGCCGUGGCACCCAAUUCUUUCUGCCAUGGUGAUCAAAUGCUCCUAAUCAUCUUCAUGUCAACAUUUUCAUAAAAUUGCAUAUAACUUACAUCUGUCAUUCGCAUCAUGAUAACAACAUUUAAAAUGUCUAAAAUUGAUGUUCGCAUUAAAAUUGCUAAAUGGCAUGAGGAUUUUCCGGAAUUAUUGUUUGUUGUUCCGGCCUCAUUUAAAUUGCCUAAAUAGGUAGUUUCCAUAUGCUUCACCUCUUGCCAUGGUUAAUAACAUUUAAUAUUGUUGGGUACAUAAAUGAGAGAGAACUAAAUAAUUAAAUGUGGUGUUUCGUCAAUAUGCAACUCGUUGCAUAUUGAGCUCCACUUAAUUUGUAGUGUUGUUUGUUGCACUUUGCCAUGCCAUGCUCAUUAAACCGGACAUGCAUCAUACUUGAUUGUGCAUCAUGCCAUGUUUCUGUGAUGGUUGUUUACUAUGUCGUUUGUUUCUUUCCGGGUUGCUUCUCUCGUUAGCUUCGGUUUCGUUCCGGAGUUGUGAGGACUUGUUCGUCUACAUCCGUUUGUCUUCUUCAUGGACCCGCUCGUCUUCCUUGCGGGAUCUCAGGCAAGAUGACCAUACCCUCAAAAUCACUUCUAUCUUUGCUUGCUAGUUGUUCGCUCUAUUGCUAUGCUGCGCUACCUACCACUUGCUCUUCAAGCCUCCCAAAUUGCCAUGAACCUCUAACCUUUGUCACCUUCCUAGCAAACCGUUGUUUGGCUAUGUUACCGCUUUUGCUCAGCCCCUCUUAUAGCGUUGUUAGUUGCAGGUGAAGUUGAAGAUUGCUCCAUGUUGGAUUAUGUUUAUGUUGGGAUAUCACAAUAUCUCUUAUAUUUUUAAUGCAUCUAUAUAUUUGGUAAAGGGUGGAAGGCUCGGCCUUAUGCCUGGUGUUUUGUUCCACUCUUGCCGCCCUAGUUUCCGUCAUACCGGUGUUAUGUUCCUUGAUUUUGCGUUCCUUACGCGGUUGGGUGAUUUAUGGGACCCCCUUGACAGUUCGCUUUGAAUAAAACUCCUCCAGCAAGGCCCAACCUUGGUUUUACCAUUUGCCUACCUAAGCCUUUUUCCCUUGGGUUCUGCAGACUCAAGGGUCAUCUUUAUUUUAAACCCCCGGGCCAGUGCUCCUCUGAGUGUUGGUCCAACCUGUCGCCGGUGGCCACCAGGGGCAACUCUGGGCUGGCCUACCGGAAGCUUGGACAAUCCGGUGUGCCCUGAGAACGAGAUAUGUGCAGCUCCUAUCGGGAUUUGUCGGCACAUUCGGGCAGCUUUGCUGGUCGUGUUUUACCAUUGUCGAGAUGUCUUGUAAACCGGGAUUCCGAGACUGAUCGGGUCUUUCCGGGAGAAGGUUUAUCCUUCGUUGACCGUGAGAGCUUAUGAUGGGCUAAGUUGGGACACCCCUGCAGGGUAUUAUCUUUCGAAAGCCGUGCCCGCGGUGAUGUGGCAGAUGGUAAUUUGUUAAUGUCCGGUUGUAGAUAACUUGACACUUGACCCAGUUAAAAUACAUCAACUGCGUGAGUAGCCGUGAUGGUCUCUUCUCGGCGGAGUCCGGGAAGUGAACACGGUUUCUGGGUUAUGUUUGACGUAAGUAGGAGUUCAGGAUCACUUCUUGAUCAUUGCUAGUUCACGACCGUUCCGUUGCUUCUCUUCUCGCUCUCCUUUGCGUAUGUUAGCCACCAUAUAUGCUUAGUGCUUGCUGCAGCUCCACCUCACUACCCCAUCCUUUUCCUUUAAGCUUAAAUAGUCUUGAUCUCGCGGGUGUGAGAUUGCUGAGUCCUCGUGACUCACAGAUACUUCCAAAACAGUUGCAGGUGCCGAUGAUACCAGUGCAGGUGACGCAACCAAGCUCAAGUGGGAGCUCGAUGAAGAUCUUGUCCGUUGUGUUGUUUCUUUUCUUUUUGAUCAGUAGUGGAGCCCAGUUGGGACGAUCAGGGAUCUAGUAGUUGGGUUGUCUUCUUUCCUUUUGGUUCCAUAGUCGGACCUAUAUGUGUACUCUGAAUGAUGUAUGAUUUAUUUAUGUAUUCUGUGAAGUGGCGAUUGUAAGCCAACUCUUUAUCCCUUUCUUGUUCAUUACAU